CAAAAGGUCCGGCGGUUGUGUUCUUAUCUGUACAAAAUUACAAGGUUUGUUUGUUACUGUAAACAUGAAAAGGAAAGAUGGUAUAUUUGUUGGAAGGUUCAAUUUAGUUAGCUUGCAGUGUUUUCUUAUCCAUGGAAAUCUAUUGUUCUAAACAUUUGUAAUAUCAUGUUGUUGUUGGAUUUCUCGUUUGUUAAUUAUUGUUUUUGAAGUAGUGUUUAGCUUGAAUUAGCUUGAUUUUUGGUUUGUUAAUUCUGGAUUUAUUUUGCCGUUGGAUUUUGUUAAUUCUAGCUUGAAUUUUUCUUGUUAGUUUAUUGUUGCUGGAUUUUUGGUUUGUUAAUCCUGGGUUUAUGUUUGAAUGAUAUAAUGAUAUUAUGGAUUUUCUUUAAGAAAUGGAUGAAGAAGAAGGAACUCACGUGCCUCUCCUUUCUUUCCUUUUUUUUUUUUUAAUUCCGUAAAUGCAUGUGUGGCUUUUUGUUUUUUUUUUUAAUUUAAAAAAUACACAGUUGGCAUGACAUGUAGGAUUGACCAAAUCAAAAUUGAGGUUUUGCAAAAGGUGAUAAACAUGGGUCAUUUUUGCUAUUUUUUUAAUAGGGGGCUAAAAUUGCAACUUUUGCAAAUUUAAAAGAUAAAAAGUGCGUUUAAGCCAAGUUAAAGUGGAGUGGUCCAAGUCCAACAGUCCAUCAUAACACAUUGCAAUAAGAAAAAAAACAAAUAUUACCUGUUAUUUAAAUAAAUUUAGUCCCUAUGAACUUAACUCAUUUGAUAAGGGAUAAUGCACAAAUGUGUAGGCGUCGGGGUUCGAAUCCCCGGACACCUCACUUAUUCAUCUUUUAGGUGAAUUUCUCUAACCACUAAACUACUUGACAAAAAAAAAUUAUAAUUUUUAUAACAAUGACAUUUUUUUUUUUUGGUACAAGUAACAAUGACAUAUCUAGAGGGACAUUGAGAAGGAAACUUUAUUAUGGAGAGAGAGAAGAGUGCAUUGCUGCCGUUGUGCUAUUUUCGAAUUUACUUUAUGUUGGCAGAAAGCUUUUAGUUCGAGAUUUGUUUAAUGUCGUUGAAUUUAUAUUGAUGACAUUUUUUUUGAACAAACAAAAAUAAGAUAUAUUAACACGGACACCGUAAUUGUUAUCGCACAAGGUGUGCCAAAUAAUCACGAAAAUGUCAAGGUCCAAACAAAAUUACAACCAAAUCAGUCAAUACACGGACAUAAAAGCGGGUUCGACCACCACUGAUGAGUACCAAAACUAAAUACAACAUUGCUAGCCUUUAACCACCACAAAGAAGUUGAUUUCACUUUAUCUAACAUUUGUGGCAGAGUACUUUGUCUAUUUCUAAAAAUCCUAUCAUCCAUUUCAUUCCACAACACCGAAACACGAAGCAAUCAAAUCAAGUGGAAGAAAGACCGUCAUCUUCUCAAACAACCUGCGUAAUUAAUAAAUUGCAAAAAAUGAUCUGAAGUUGAUUGAGAUUCGACCCCUACCACUCCUAGCCAUGCCCGCACCAUUGGCCAUAAUGCACUAAAAGUUACACAAGACAAAAAUAAAUGAUUAACAUCUUCAACGUUCCCACAACUAGAAACACACAACCGCGCCUCCAAAGGUAAAAUGCAACGGUUUGCCAAAUUAUUUUUUGUAGGUAACCAAUCUCUCAGGAGUCGCCAAGCAAGGAUAGAUACUUUGAGAGGAACCUGUUUAUACCAAAUUAACUUCAUAUGAUGAUGUAAUUGGGGCUGCUCCUGUGAUGUCAGCAUGUCAUAUACUCCACGCACAGAAUACCCACCCUCCUGUUUAGGUAAUCAAAGCCAUAUGUUUGUCACUGAUUCCUGCAAAGAAACUGUUAGUAAUAAAACUCUACACUCCUCUACCAACUUCUCCUCCCAAGCCCACAACCGCCUACGCCACCGCAACACCCCCCCACCCACAUCCACCCCCAACAAGAACAUAUUUCUAACUGAAAUUGAUUUUUUAACAUUCAAGUCAAAAAGGCGCCUAAAUUGACGACAUUGUUGCCGUUAAUUAUGAUGUUGUCUCAUCUAGAAGUCCUAGCUCAACUGGCAAAAUAUCGAAAUUGUUAGGUCAGAUGCCAUGACCUGGAUUCGAACCCCGGUACCUCCACUUAUGUGUGUGAGUUUAUAAUGGCUUUAUUAUUUCGUCUAUCUACCAAAAAUAAAAUGAUGUUGUCUCUUUUGAUUACAUUGACAGUGUUAGAUUUGUAUCAUAAGUUUUUUUUUUUUACCAAAAUUUAACCUGCUGCUGUUUUUCUUUAAAUAACAUCAACGUAAUUUUUUAUAACAACAAAAGGUAAAAAAAUGCAUUUAAAAAAUAUUUUAUUUAUUUGACAGAUUGAUCCGCCAACUAGUCUGUCAUCACUAAACGAAACGGGAUGAAAUUUAAAUUCCACCACUUAAAUUGACUCGGCCUAUCUCAAUCUGGCUUUAUAUGGACUUAAGCGGACGUAUCUAAAACGGGCAAGGCAGCCCGCGUUGCCAUCCCUACAUGCAGGUAAUUUUUUUAUUUAUUUUUUGAUUGUUUUUUUACAACACAAUCCAUGCAUGCACAAGAAUAUAUCCAGUCCAACUCCAAUGUAGAUUUGAAAACAAAAAAUUAACAAAAAUAAUCUAUUUUAUUAAAACAAAUCAUCUGUUUUCUAUCGGAAUAAAAAAAAAAAAUCUAUUUUUACGUAUAGAAAAACCCUUAACCUACUUUUUACCAAACUAUUGAACAUUUUUUUUGUACAAACUAUUGAACAUUUUUAUGCAUUAUAAAAAGUGAAAAAAUGUCAUUCGUCAACUUCUUUUUUCUUUUGACAUGUCACUUAAUUAUUUUU
rnacentral:lncRNA from 1 species